rnacentral:misc_RNA from 1 species
CUUCGUUUGCGGUAUAUUUAACUCUUGACAAUGCUUCGUGGAUAGUCUCUACGCCCCUGUUUGUGGCAUGGAGAGUGCUUCAUAGAAUGAGACCCUUCCACUCCUUGCUUCGUAUGUCAUCUCAUGACAUUCUCGUUGCUUAGGCGGUGAACUUAGGGUGUCAUUAUAUUGUUGCAAAUGUGGCUCAUUCGAGAAGCGAGCUUUGGUGUUAUGGCGCACCUUGCUCGAGUUGGUUAAUCCAAUGGUGAUAUUGCCUUAUCAUCCCUCUGUGCGACUUUGGUUCUUUCCCCUCAUUCCAUCGAGUGAGGGUGAGGCUCUAAUAGUUGUGUUGAGGCCGUGCUACCUGGUUGAUCCUGCCAGUAGUCAUAUGCUUGUCUCAAAGAUUAAGCCAUGCAUGUG